UACGAAGGGGGCUAGCGUUGCUCGGAAUCACUGGGCGUAAAGCGCACGUAGGCGGCUUGUUAAGUCAGGGGUGAAAUCCUGGAGCUCAACUCCAGAACUGCCUUUGAUACUGGCGAGCUUGAGUUCGGGAGAGGUGAGUGGAACUGCGAGUGUAGAGGUGAAAUUCGUAGAUAUUCGCAAGAACACCAGUGGCGAAGGCGGCUCACUGGCCCGAUACUGACGCUGAGGAGCGAAAGUGUGGGGAGCGAACAGG
rnacentral:rRNA from 1 species